UCUAGCAGUGGUCAGCUCUCCAGGCAGCAUCAUGCCUGUGAUCAUGUUGCACUGCUGGGAGAGGAAUGCCCUGUCUGCUUCCUCCAGCUGUCCCUGCACUGACCUGGUGACAUGUGGCACUGGUGCAAGGCAGAACUGUGCUUCCUUGAAAGUGAGCUAAGCAUCACUUUGGCUGCUUAGUUCUAGAGUGGGAGCAGACACA